GUCCACGCUGUAAACGAUGAGUGCUAGACGUUGGGGCCCUUAGGGUUUCAGUGUCGCAGCUAACGCAUUAAGCACUCCGCCUGGGGAGUACGGCCGCAAGGUUAAACUCAAAGGAAUUGACGGGGCCCGCACAAGCGGUGGAGCAUGUGGUUUAAUUCGAAGCAACGCGCAGAACCUUACCAGCUCUUGACAUCUUCUGACCGGUACGGAGACGUACUUUUCCCUUCGGGGACUGAAGACAGGUGCUGCAUGGCUGUCGU
rnacentral:rRNA from 1 species